AUUGAACGCUGGCGGCAGGCCUAACACAUGCAAGUCGAGCGGAUGACGGGAGCUUGCUCCUUGAUUCAGCGGCGGACGGGUGAGUAAUGCCUAGGAAUCUGCCUGGUAGUGAGGGACAACGUUUCGAAAGGAACGCUAAUACCGCAUACGUCCCACGGGAGAAAGCAGGGGACCUUCGGGCCUUGCGCUAUCAGAUGAGCCUAGGUCGGAUUAGCUAGUUGGUGGGGUAAUGGCUCACCAAGGCGACGAUCCGUAACUGGUCUGAGAGGAUGAUCAGUCACACUGGAACUGAGACACGGUCCAGACUCCUACGGGAGGCAGCAGUGGGGAAUAUUGGACAAUGGGCGAAAGCCUGAUCCAGCCAUGCCGCGUGUGUGAAGAAGGUCUUCGGAUUGUAAAGCACUUUAAGUUGGGAGGAAGGGCAGUAAGCUAAUACCUUGCUGUUCUGACGUUACCGACAGAAUAAGCACCGGCUAACUCUGUGCCAGCCGCCGCCGUAA
rnacentral:rRNA from 1 species